GAACUUAAGCAUAUCAAUAAGCGGAGGAAAAGAAACCAACGGGGAUUGCCUCAGUAACGGCGAGUGAAGCGGCAAAAGCUCAAAUUUGAAAUCUGGCUCACGCCCGAGUUGUAAUUUGCAGAGGAUGUCUCGAAGUCGUCGCCGGUCUAAGUUCCUUGGAACAGGACGUCGCAGAGGGUGAGAAUCCCGUACGCGACCGAUCGACGGUCUUCAUGUGGGACUCCUUCGACGAGUCGAGUUGUUUGGGAAUGCAGCUCUAAAUUGGAGGUAAAUUUCUUCUAAGGCUAAAUACCUGCCAGAGACCGAUAGCGCACAAGUAGAGUGAUCGAAAGAUGAAAAGCACUUUGAAAAGAGAGUUAAAAAGUACGUGAAAUUGUUGAAAGGGAAGCGUCUGCGGUCAGACUCGUGAUCGAUUGCUCAGCUGGGCUUUGCCCAGUGCACUCUUUCGAUUUCGGGCCAGCAUCGAUUCGAACGAUCGGAUAAAGGACAUGGGAACGUGGCUCUUCGGAGUGUUAUAGCCCUAGUCACAAUGCGACCAGUCCGGAUCGAGGGAAGCGAUUCUUGGAUGCUGGCGUAAUGACCGUAGACGGCCCGUCUUGAAACACGGACCAAGGAGUCUAACAUCUAUGCGAGUGUUUGGGUGUAAAACCCGUACGCGAAAUGAAAGUGAACGGAGGUGGGAGCUUAGGCGCACCAUCGACCGAUCCUGAUGUCUUCGGAAGGAUUUGAGUAGGAGCAUAGCUGUUGGGACCCGAAA
rnacentral:rRNA from 1 species